GUUUGAGAAAUUGAAUUGAAGAAAGUGUUAUAAUUAAGAGGAAGAAAAUGUUAGUUCAGCUCUUCUACUCAAUUCACUCAAUACAUCAAUGUCAAGUGUUAAAGAUUGUUUAGAGUGCAGAAUCAUUGGUGGAGGAGCUCUAGGUCUUAUUUCUGGGUUCCUUUACUCUCAACGACAGCACCAGAAAGGAGCUGUUGCCAAGGUUUCUGUAAUACUUCUCAGUACAGCUGUUGGAACUCUGGCUCUAACAAGAUUAUUCAACCUGCCACCAUUUCGGAGAAAUACCAGCUAAAUAGGAAAAGUUUUGAGUGUUAAAUGUCGUCGUCUUCUGACAAAAGAAGUUUGUCCACAGACAAAAGAAGUCUUUCCUCAAGCUCUGGAAGGAGUGAGGAAUUGUCUGGUGGGAAACAUUUUGCAUACGGUCAAUCCUUGGGCGGAAGACGGGGUAGCAGUGCUACUCAUGUCAAGAACCCAUUCUCAACCAUGAUCAAGAUCCCCAGCAAGAUGGGGAAGAAGGUUGUCGGUCUGAUCAUGAGAGUUCCUAAAUCCAAGAAAAUGGAGGGAGUAGUAACAUCCGGGGGUUUAGGUGAGGCGAGUAUUCACCACGCCUUGGUGGUCAUAUUCCUCGAGUUCUUCGCCUGGGGUCUCCUCACCUCCCCGAUGAUCACUGUGUUGAACGAAACCUUCCCUGACCACACCUUUCUCAUGAACGGUCUCAUUAUGGGAAUCAAGGGACUACUUUCUUUCCUCUCAGCUCCUCUUAUUGGCGCACUGUCAGAUAUCUGGGGAAGAAAAUUCUUUCUUUUGAUAACAGUUUUCUUCACAUGUGCUCCCAUACCCUUGAUGAAGAUCAACAACUGGUGGUACUUCGCCAUGAUCUCUAUUUCAGGAAUCUUCGCGGUAACAUUUAGCGUCGUGUUCGCUUAUGUUGCCGACGUUACCGACGAGUCUGAGAGGUCGGCAGCUUACGGUCUCGUGUCAGCAACCUUUGCGGCCAGCCUCGUAACCUCUCCAGCUCUUGGGGCUUGGAUUGAGGCCAACUAUGGGGAAGAACUAGUUGUUGCUGCCGCCACUGCGAUUGCAAUCCUUGAUGUUUUCUUCAUCAUGGUCGCAGUUCCAGAGUCAUUACCGGAGAAAUGUAAACCAACAUCCAGAGGGUUAACCUUGGAACAGGUUGACCCCUUUUCCUCGCUGCGGAAGAUGUGGAAGGAUUCAACUGUUCUAAUGCUUUGUAUCACAGUCUUCCUCUCCUACCUACCGGAGGCCGGGCAGUAUUCUUGCUUCUUUGUCUACCUUCGGCUUGUGAUGAAUUUCUCUAAAGAGAAUGUUGCCAUGUUCAUUGCUGCCAUUGGAAUCCUCUCAGUCAUUGCUCAGACGGGUUUACUUACCCUCCUGAUGAAAACUGUUGGACCUAAGCAUACAAUCAUGAUCGGUCUCUUCUUCGAGAUGUUACAGUUGAUGUGGUAUGGGUUUGGUUCUCAGCAGUGGAUGAUGUGGUCUGCAGGAAUACUAGCUUCUAUAUCCAGUAUCUCGUAUCCGGCAAUAUCUGCUUUUGUUUCAAUGCACGCAGACUCGGAUAAACAGGGAGCGGUUCAAGGAAUGAUAACAGGUAUACGAGGUCUCUGUAAUGGUUUAGGUCCAGCUAUGUUCGGACUCAUUUUCUACCUGUUCCACGUAGAUCUGAACGAAAAGGGACAUGAAACAGCAACAUCAGUAAAUGAGACUUCUGAGCAUCAUACCUUUGACAUGAUUUCUGCUUUGAUGCCCGGACCUCCCUUUGUAUUCGGAGCGUUUCUAGUCAUCCUCGCGAUCCUCGUAGCAGCCUUUAUACCUGAUACAUCCUCCAACAUCUUCUCUAUAGACGAGGACAAGAAGAACCGGAGGCCUAAGGACGAUGAACGAGGAAGGAAACGGACUGGACGUGAUGAAGUGAUAAAACUCUCGGACGAUAGUGUUACUACGGAUAGUGAGGACGAUUAUAACGUCCCACUUAUCAAGGAGGGUGACCUGUUAUAGCAGAGUAUUCAAGUAUCCUAUGUUAGUGAUCAACUGACAUGUAAUACUGUGAUAUGUAAAAAAUCAAAAUUUACGGGAUAGAAGGAGAAGUUGGGCAUUCAUAAUAUAGUGUAAACAGACACAGUCAAAGAUAAAGUUAAAACGAAAGCAAAUUGCUGAAUAAAUCAUGUUAGACGUUGAUCAGUUCACAUUCUGUAAAAUGUUAAGAGCUCGAAUAAAAUGUUGGAAGUACGAAGAAAAAGAAGAAAAUGCAAAAUAUGUAUAAUCAAGAUCAGGCGUGUACUAUACAGUACACACGAUAAAUUGUAAAAAGAUGAUUGUACUCUUCACUUUUUUCCUUUCUAAAGGUAUUGGGUGUCCCAUUAAACUAGGAAAUUAUAGAGACUACUUUGAUAAUUAAAUAAAAUUGUGUCUCGUGAGCUUUUAAAAAUUAAAUGGUAGACCACAAUAUGAAAAUAACAUUGAAAAGUAGUUUUUCUUGUUUAAUGUUUUAACUGUGAUUCUACCGAAAUUUAUUGUGCUCACGAAAAAAUGACUUGUGGAACAAAGACGACUUAGAAGUCUUAACUUAAAUCCAUUGUUUAUUUGAAACCCAUUUUUGUCCCUAGAGACCGAAUAAAAUAAUUUUUUCAUUUAAAGUAAUAGUUCAGAUAUUUAUUUAAAAGGUAGGUACGAGGAAACAGAACAAUAUCGCAGACUUAGUCUUUGUCGUCUUCCGUGUAUUAAAUAUAAAUUUUAGUGUUCUAGAAGGUAGAAUGCCAAAAUUUAAUAUGAAUAAUUAUGAAUAUUUUCUACGCAAAGUAAAGACGACAGAAACCGAGGAGAUCUGUUAAACCGUAAAAAUGAUCCCCCACCCAUUAGUCUAAUUUGAGGUGAAGGAUGGAGGUUGUUCUGUUAUUGUAUUACAACUCUUUGUUUAUUAGUUCGGCCUAAUUUUGUUUUGCUUUUCUUGUAUUUAAAUUUAAUUUUAAAUUUUUAAGUUGAGAGUACAGCUUAGUUUUUGUUAAUUUAUUUAGUUCUAAACUGUACUCUAUAUUGAAGCUUGUAUAUCUGUUGAAAAAAAAAUUAUUUUUCUUUUUGUAAUAUUGUAUAAAUGUAAUGUUUUUCUGAAGGCUCAUUAUUGUUCACCUUUUGAUAACUAUUAAAGGGUAUUAUUAAUGUAUUGGUAAACGGGAAGUUGUGGCAAAAAAAGUAUUUCUUGCCUUUUUUUAUUUGUUUUAAUAUUAAGCAGAAAAACUAAUGAAGUUCUCAAAAAAAGUUUUUAUGUAAAAAAUAUUGAUGUAUUGUUUAACUUAAACAGUUCCUUGAUUUGUAAAUCAUAUUUAUUGUAUUUAUUAAAGUAUUCUUUUUUGAAAAAAUGUUGUUAGAGGAAAUUUCCACAUUUUCUGUCGUCAAAAAACAGAACAAACUUUCGGAGAUAUUAGGAUUCAGUUUUGGACUAAGGAAUCAUUUUCCGACUUUUAUCAUAGAUCAGAUUUUGUAUUCCUUUUUAAAAAUUCGGAUUUCCGUUUAAGCAUCAUCUCUGCCAGAUCUAGAUUUAUACCGAAAUAAUUGAUUAGUUGAUUGAGGACUCAAAAGUGGUCUUUGAACCUAAAACAGUUAGCAGUUAGUAUUCAAGCAAUUAAUAAAUUAUUCUGGUUAAUUAA
rnacentral:misc_RNA from 1 species